rnacentral:rRNA from 1 species
UACGUAGGGGGCUAGCGUUGUCCGGAAUCAUUGGGCGUAAAGAGCGUGUAGGCGGCCCGGUAAGUCCGCUGUGAAAGUCGGGGGCUCAACCCUCGAAUGCCGGUGGAUACUGUCGGGCUAGAGUGCGGAAGAGGCGAGUGGAAUUCCUGGUGUAGCGGUGAAAUGACGCAGAUAUCAGGAGGAACACCGAUUGCGAAGGCAGCUCGCUGGGACGUCACUGACGCUGAGGAGCGAAAGCGUGGGGAGCGAACAGG